GUAACUCUUCAGCAGCGAAAUAUGAUGCCUCACCAGCAGCUUACACACGCUUUAGCUUUCUAGAUAGAUAGAUAGAUAGAUAGAUAGAUAGAUAUAUAGAUAGAAUAUUCUCAGCUUGCAAAAAUAUGUAAUUGUCAGCAACUACUAAUGAAAGCUCUUUUGUGCAUCUGAUGUGGUUGGAAAAGGUCAUAAAAAUGAAUGGGCGAAUGUAGAACCAGAUAAAAGGAAAUGUUCGACAGGAUCAGUUCGCGGGAAACUUCCGGUUGACCAGUGUGUGUGUGUGUGUGUGUGUGUGUGUGUGUGUGCAACGUGUGCAGCUUGAACUGGUGGGUGCACAAGAGCACGUCAUUUUCGCGGUAAUAUCUUGCAACUGGCAAUGCAACAACAACAGCGCUCUGCAGAAGAGUCGGAUUAUGAAAAUGUUUGUAAAAACAUGGCAACGUAGUUUUUUAACCUUUUUAGCACUGUGUUGGACCUCCUUUAAGGCGAUGGUUUGCAGUAAAGUGAGAGGGGGAAACUUUAAAAGCUAUAAUAUUUGGAUUUUUAUGGUGGCUUCUAAGAAUAGCCGGGAGAUUCCUGUGCUGCUGUGGACAUGACAACUCUGAAGUUCAGCUCUCAGUUGAAGAAACGGCGCCAUUUCUUGAUGUAAGCACUGUACGACCAUGGGAUUAUGGUAAAGGUGGAGGUAUUAUCAGGACGGUUUAGACAGAACACUUGGAUCAAGAUUAAGAAAAGGCUUUAAGUUUAGCAUUUAUACGAUGGAGGAUUGGCACCCUUGAAAUCAUUGUUUCCCCAGCCAGAUCUGUUGCUAAUUCCCGAGAUGAGCUGAUGUCAAGGUGGGGCAGAGUUACUGACACUCUCACCCCAGUUUUAAAUAAGGAGCUCUGGACCUACAUUUGGUUUGGUCCAUGCAAAGCAGCAUUAGCAUAAUCUUACCUGUUUAAUGGUAAUAGGGAGCCCUGCCACAUGUUGUCGCUAAGAUUUAAUUUGACCCACAGUGUUGAGAUUUUUAAUGUCAAAUGAAUUCAGUCACUCAUUCAUUUCUUCUUCAUCAUAAGCAAGAAUAUCAGGGCUGGCAUACAGCACACAAUUGCGAGUGUGAUAUUCCUUUAAUACCAAAGUUCAAUAACAGUAUUUUAAAGACCAGUACGUAAGAAUAUUUCUUCUUUCAAAGAAAAUAGUUCCAAAAGAAUCAAAAGCAUCAAGCUUCCAAAUUAUGCAGACAGAAAAAGUUGUUGAUCAGCGUCAUGGUACCAUCAAAGCAGGAUUGGAUUGGUUUGGUUUUGUCAACUCAAAAAUAAUUCUGUAACCCUGAGUUUGUUCAGCCACCAUCCUGGUACAAGCCCCUGGCGUCCCCCACCUUGAGUUUGUGGAGGAUUUGUGUAAAGGUGUGAAACGUUACUAAUGUCAAAUGUUAUUGUUUUUUAAAAUAAAAGUCAUAUUUAUGUUACAUGUAUGUAAGUUGUUUUUUAACUAUGUCUGCUGUAAAAGGGUGGUCUGUUCAGACUUGGUAUGAAAUGCUUGAAUGUAUACAUAAAUCUGGCAUAUUAGGUAAUCAUUGAAAACAAUGUUAAAAUAAUGUAAAUCAAUGUCUAAUGUAUCUUCCUCGCUGCCUUAGCAGUCUGAUAUAAUAAAUGCAUAAUUCAAAAACA